UACGAAGGGGGCUAGCGUUGCUCGGAAUUACUGGGCGUAAAGCGCACGUAGGCGGCUUUCUAAGUCGGGGGUGAAAUCCUGGAGCUCAACUCCAGAACUGCCUUCGAUACUGGAAGACUUGAGUCCGGGAGAGGUGAGUGGAACUGCGAGUGUAGAGGUGAAAUUCGUAGAUAUUCGCAAGAACACCAGUGGCGAAGGCGGCUCACUGGCCCGGUACUGACGCUGAGACGCGAAAGCGUGGGGAGCGAACCGG
rnacentral:rRNA from 1 species